AACUAGAGCUGGUGGGUCCACGAUUCAAAGAGAAAGUGCGAAAGCACGUCAUUUACGCGGGAACAUCUCCCGGCAGCUGCCAAUGUAACAACAGCGUUCUGCAGAAGAAAAUAGUCUUUACAAGUCGUACUAUGAAGAUGUUGGUAAAAACAUGGAAACAUACGUUUUUAACUUUAUUUUUUAGCACUAUACUGGACCUCCUUACGUUAGGCGAGGGCUUGCAGUGGAGUAAGAGAGGAAAACUUUAAAACAUACAAUAAUCGGAUUUUUAUGUCGGCUUCUAAGAACAGCCUGGAGAUUCAUGUGCUGCUGUGGACAUGAUAACUCUGACGUUCAGUUCUCAGUUGAGGAGACGGAGCCACCUCUUGGCGUCAGCACUGUGAGACCAUGGAAUUAUGCUGAAGGUGGAGGCAUUAUCAGGACAGUUUAGAACACUUGAAUCAAGAUUAAGAAACAAAUUUAAGUUUAGAACUUAUGAGAUGGAGGAUUGCCCCCCUUGAAAUCAUUGUCGCCCCAGCCACAUCUUUUGCAAAUUCCCGAGAGAAGCUGAUGUCGAGGUGGGGCAGAGUUACUGGCGCUCAUGCCCCAUGCAUGAAGAAGUGGUUCUGGACCUAUGCUGGGUUUGGUUUGGUCCAUUCAGAGCAGCAUUAGAGCACAAUCUUGAUGGUAAAAGAGAGCCAUGCCACGUGUUUUCACUAAGAUUUAAUUUGACCAACAGUGAUGAGAUUUCUGAUGUCAAAUGAAUUCAAUCCCUCAUUCAUUCCUGCUUCAUCUUAAGCAAGAAUAUCAGAGCUGGUAUACAGCACACAAGUUUAUACCAAAGUUCAACGAGAAUAUUUAAAGCCAGUUAGUAAGUAUAUUUCAUCUCUUUCAAAGAAAAUGGUCCCAAAAAAAGUGAAAGCAUCAAGCUAUCAAAUUAUGCACAGACUGAAUGUAAAUAAAUACAUUAUUGGAGUAUCAGCGUACUUGAAAGCAUAAUAGCUAACAUUUUGUGCCUCCGCAUUUCAUAAAUAUUGUUCCUCACUCAUCAUUUGAAAACAUGACAGUGGUGUCUGAUAGAAUCAUUCUUUACCAUACGGUGGGAAUAGAAUCAGCCCUCUUUAAAAUAAUCACAUUUUGUUGCCUUGCAACCUGAAAUGAAGAUGGACACAAUUUUUGUUUUAUCCAGCUGUAUCUACAUCCAAGUGAAAGAUAAAACACCAACAU